rnacentral:rRNA from 1 species
CGAACGGGUGAGUAAUGCGUGACCAACCUGCCCCAUGCUCCAGAAUAGCUCUUGGAAACGGGUGGUAAUGCUGGAUGCUCCAACUUGACGCAUGUCUUGUUGGGAAAGUGUUUAGUGGCAUGGGAUGGGGUCGCGUCCUAUCAGCUUGUAGGCGGGGUAAUGGCCCACCUAGGCUUCGACGGGUAGCCGGCCUGAGAGGGCGGACGGCCACAUUGGGACUGAGAUACGGCCCAGACUCCUACUGGAGGCAGCAGUA